rnacentral:misc_RNA from 1 species
CCGAGUUAUACAACUCAUCAACCCUGUGAACAUACCUUAAAAUUGUUGCUUCGGCGGGAAAGACGGCCUGUAAACGGGCGCCCCCGCCAGGGGACCCAAACCUUCUGAUUUUUUAUAAUAGUAUCUUCUGAGUGUUAAACAAGAAAAUAAAUUCA